GGCCUGGUAGUACAGUGGCAGUACACUCGUUGCAAUGGCGGCAACGAGAGACCUGUGGUUCGAUUCCCAGCUGGCCCA